rnacentral:rRNA from 1 species
AGAGUUUGAUCUUGGCUCAGGACGAACGCUGGCGGCGUGCCUGAUACAUGCAAGUAGAACGCUGAAGUCUGGUGCUUGCACUAGACGGAUGAGUUGCGAACGGGUGAGUAACGCGUAGGUAACCUGCCUCAUAGCGGGGGAUAACUAUUGGAAACGAUAGCUAAUACCGCAUAACAGUAUUUACCGCAUGGUAGAUACUUAAAAGGAGCAAUUGCUUCACUAUGAGAUGGACCUGCGUUGUAUUAGCUAGUUGGUGAGGUAACGGCUCACCAAGGCUUCGAUACAUAGCCGACCUGAGAGGGUGAUCGGCCACACUGGGACUGAGACACGGCCCAGACUCCUACGGGAGGCAGCAGUAGGGAAUCUUCGGCAAUGGGGGCAACCCUGACCGAGCAACGCCGCGUGAGUGAAGAAGGUUUUCGGAUCGUAAAGCUCUGUUGUAAGAGAAGAACUGUGAGAAGAGUGGAAAGUUUCUCACUUGACGGUAUCUUACCAGAAAGGGACGGCUAACUACGUGCCAGCAGCCGCGGUAAUACGUAGGUCCCGAGCGUUGUCCGGAUUUAUUGGGCGUAAAGCGAGCGCAGGCGGUUUGAUAAGUCUGAAGUAAAAGGCUGUGGCUUAACCAUAGUACGCUUUGGAAACUGUCAAACUUGAGUGCAGAAGGGGAGAGUGGAAUUCCAUGUGUAGCGGUGAAAUGCGUAGAUAUAUGGAGGAACACCGGUGGCGAAAGCGGCUCUCUGGUCUGUAACUGACGCUGAGGCUCGAAAGCGUGGGGAGCGAACAGGAUUAGAUACCCUGGUAGUCCACGCCGUAAACGAUGAGUGCUAGGUGUUGGGUCCUUUCCGGGACUCAGUGCCGCAGCUCACGCAUUAAGCACUCCG